GGCAGGGCGGCAGCUACACAUGCAGUCGAGCGGAACGAGUUAUCUGAACCUUCGGGGAACGAUAACGGCGUCGAGCGGCGGACGGGUGAGUAAUGCCUAGGAAAUUGCCCUGAUGUGGGGGAUAACCAUUGGAAACGAUGGCUAAUACCGCAUAACGCCUACGGGCCAAAGAGGGGGACCUUCGGGCCUCUCGCGUCAGGAUAUGCCUAGGUGGGAUUAGCUAGUUGGUGAGGUAAGGGCUCACCAAGGCGACGAUCCCUAGCUGGUCUGAGAGGAUGAUCAGCCACACUGGAACUGAGACACGGUCCAGACUCCUACGGGAGGCAGCAGUGGGGAAUAUUGCACAAUGGGCGCAAGCCUGAUGCAGCCAUGCCGCGUGUGUGAAGAAGGCCUUCGGGUUGUAAAGCACUUUCAGUCGUGAGGAAGGCGGUAAUGUUAAUAGCAUUAUUGUUUGACGUUAGCGACAGAAGAAGCACCGGCUAACUCCGUGCCAGCAGCCGCGGUAAUACGGAGGGUGCGAGCGUUAAUCGGAAUUACUGGGCGUAAAGCGCAUGCAGGUGGUUUGUUAAGUCAGAUGUGAAAGCCCGGGGCUCAACCUCGGAAUAGCAUUUGAAACUGGCAGACUAGAGUACUGUAGAGGGGGGUAGAAUUUCAGGUGUAGCGGUGAAAUGCGUAGAGAUCUGAAGGAAUACCGGUGGCGAAGGCGGCCCCCUGGACAGAUACUGACACUCAGAUGCGAAAGCGUGGGGAGCAAACAGGAUUAGAUACCCUGGUAGUCCACGCCGUAAACGAUGUCUACUUGGAGGUUGUGGCCUUGAGCCGUGGCUUUCGGAGCUAACGCGUUAAGUAGACCGCCUGGGGAGUACGGUCGCAAGAUUAAAACUCAAAUGAAUUGACGGGGGCCCGCACAAGCGGUGGAGCAUGUGGUUUAAUUCGAUGCAACGCGAGAACCUUACCUACUCUUGACAUCCAGAGAACUUUCCAGAGAUGGAAUUGUGCCUUCGGGAACUCUGAGACAGGUGCUGCAUGCUGUCGUCAGCUCGUGUUGUGAAUGUGGGUAAGUCCCGCACGAGCGCACCUAUCUGUUUGCAGCACGUCAGGUGGGUACUCCAGGAGAACUGCGUGAUAAACCGAGUAGUGGACGACGUCAGUCAUCAUUGGCUACCGAGUUAGGGCUUCACACACGGUGUCCUCACAAACUG
rnacentral:rRNA from 1 species